GGCGGGAUAGCCAAGGGGCAAGGCAAGGCUCUGCAAAAGCCUUAUACGUGGGUUCGAGUCCCACUCCCGCCUCCA
rnacentral:tRNA from 2 species